UACGUAGGGUGCAAGCGUUAUCCGGAAUUAUUGGGCGUAAAGAGCUCGUAGGCGGUUUGUCGCGUCUGUUGUGAAAACUCGAGGCUCAACCUCGGGCUUGCAGUGGAUACGGGCAGACUAGAGUGCGGUAGGGGAGACUGGAAUUCCUGGUGUAGCGGUGGAAUGCGCAGAUAUCAGGAGGAACACCGAUGGCGAAGGCAGGUCUCUGGGCCGCAACUGACGCUGAGGAGCGAAAGCAUGGGGAGCGAACAGG
rnacentral:rRNA from 1 species